rnacentral:rRNA from 1 species
UCGAGAAUUUUUCUCAAUGGGCGAAAGCCUGAAGGAGCGACGCCGCGUGGGGGAUGAAUGGCUUCGGCCCGUAAACCCCUGUCAUUUGCGAACAAGUCGUAUUAUUUAAAAGAUGAUGCGUUGAUAGUAGCGAAAGAGGAAGGGACGGCUAACUCUGUGCCAGCAGCCGCGGUAAUACAGAGGUCCCGAGCGUUGUUCGGAUUCACUGGGCGUAAAGGGUGCGUAGGUGGCGAGGAAAGUCGGAUGUGAAAUCUCCAAGCUUAACUUGGAAAUGGCAUUGGAAACUACCUUGCUUGAGGUUUGGAGGGGGGACUGGAAUUCUUGGUGUAGCAGUGAAAUGCGUAGAUAUCAAGAGGAACACCAGUGGCGAAGGCGAGUCCCUGGACAACACCUGACACUGAGGCACGAAAGCUAGGGGAGCAAACAG